rnacentral:rRNA from 1 species
UACGUAGGGUGCGAGCGUUAAUCGGAAUUACUGGGCGUAAAGCGUGCGCAGGCGGCGCGUUAAGACAGGUGUGAAAGCCCCCGAGCUUAACUUGGGAAUUGCGCUUGUGACUGGCGAGCUGGAGUGUGGCAGAGGGAGGUGGAAUUCCAGGUGUAGCGGUGAAAUGCGUAGAGAUGUGGAGGAACACCAAUGGCGAAGGCAGCCUUCUGGGCCAACACUGACGCUCAUGCACGAAAGCGUGGGGAGCAAACAGG